rnacentral:rRNA from 1 species
ACGCUCGACACCUACGGAAGGCAGCAGUGGGGAAUAUUGCACAAUGGGGGAAACCCUGAUGCAGCGACGCCGCGUGAAGGAAGAAGUAUCUCGGUAUGUAAACUUCUAUCAGCAGGGAAGAAAAUGACGGUACCUGACUAAGAAGCCCCGGCUAACUACGUGCCAGCAGCCGNGGUAAUCUGAGCGGGCUGGCAAGGC